rfam:Trichobilharzia regenti genome assembly, scaffold: TRE_scaffold0000810
AUUCAGCUGACGAGUCCUAAUUAGGACGAAAUGCGCGUUAUCCUGACUGGAU